rnacentral:tRNA from 1 species
GGGGAUGUAGCUCAAUGGUAGAGCACCUGCCUAGCAUGUGUGAGGCCCUGGGUUCAAUCCCCAGUACUGCCA